UUCGAUCCAAAAAAAUUUCUUUUUGAUGGAUGGAUGCACAUAUGAAAAGCAUUUGCUUUGUUUUGCAUUUUUUUCUUUUUCGCUUGAGUUGAUUGUCUUACUUGCAAUCAUCAAACUGGUCUUUAUUUUCAAUGUUUUGUGAAAACUGAGUAAUGUCAUACAUCCGAGGUCUCAUGCUAGAUAUGAUUAUANNUUUGACCUUUUCUUUCGAGACAUCAGUGCACACAUGCUUGGAUUUAUAGGCAAAUGAAAAGACGAGAGAUGUUUAGAAAGGUUUAGAGGAGAAUGNGAUAGUUGUAUGGACAAAUCAUUCCUCAUAUAAUCUUCAAAGGAGAUAUGAUAUGAGAAUGUCAGGGUGAACNCGAGAUACACAAAGGGUGCCCNAUCUUGAUGUUAUGGAAAAUGAGCUGGGGUUUGGAUCCAUGAAAGUUAGGGUGAGAAAAUUUCAAAUGAGAUUUGCAAAGCUGCCCCCAGUCUUGAGGUUAUGGAUUGAUGAAAAACUUGUGUGAGACUCACAAAGNCNCCCAAUUUUUNNUUGCUUUUUUUUUUUGUUUAUUGUGGUAUGGGUUGAUGAUAAACUCGGGUGAGACUCACAAAGUUGUCCCGNUUUUUUCUUUGGCAAGGGUUCUGUUUGGAAGAGGUAUUGGACAUGAAAAGGAUCGGCUAAAAGGAUGGUNNCAAAUUAGUUUAAUUUUUCUUUUGCAUGCUUCUGGUUAGAUGACAGNGUGAUCCCCUAUUCCCGAGACAUUACUUUUUCUUCUUUUUUUNNUUUUUUUNNUNNNUUUUUNNUNNNNUNNNNUUUUUUUUCGACANAUUGAAANUCAUUUCCCCUUAUCGCGAAAUUAAGCUUNAUGAAAAUUUUAACAAACNUUAUCCAAUCUGUGUGGACUUUAUUAAGCUUGUAACGUGGCUAAGGGCUAAAAGGUAUUGAAAGAAAGGAUAUAAAGGCCCAAAUGAAUGUUUGUUGGUUAUUUUUUUUAAAAACAAGGGUUAUCAUCUAAGUAUUGCAUCAACUAUUUGACUUUUUG
rnacentral:lncRNA from 1 species